GCGGGUGUAGUUCAAUGGCAGAACGGCAGCUUCCCAAGCUGCAUACGCGGGUUCGAUUCCCGUCACCCGCUCCA
rnacentral:tRNA from 1 species